UACGUAGGGUGCGAGCGUUGCCCGGAUUUAUUGGGCGUAAAGAGCUCGUAGGCGGUGUGUCACGUCGGCCGUGAAAACCUGCAGCUUAACUGUGGGCGUGCGGUCGAUACGGGCAUCACUGGAGUUCGGCAGGGGAGACUGGAAUUCCUGGUGUAGCGGUGAAAUGCGCAGAUAUCAGGAGGAACACCGGUGGCGAAGGCGGGUCUCUGGGCCGAUACUGACGCUGAGGAGCGAAAGCGUGGGGAGCAAACAGG
rnacentral:rRNA from 1 species